CUCCAGAUGAGGCUGGUAGCCGAGCAGGCCCUGCGUCGCCAGCAGACUACAGUGUACCGCCGGAUCCAGGGGAAGAUCCAGACGUUGUGGGACCAGUAUGCUGAGCAGGAGAUCUCGAGCUCGACCUUCCUGAAGACCGUCGGCAAGAUCUACUGCCCAGCGACGGUCCGACCAACACCAGACGACGAAUGAGGAGUAUACCAACAUCUCCGCGCCGACCAGUUCACAGUCGAACAAGGCCAUGCCACACCCAGGAGGCAGGUCACACACACACAAA